ACACCGCCUACUACUACUACUACUACACUCACGUGGACUGGCUGAGGUCAAAUUUAGCUAAAACAUGAAAUUUUCCCGUCUCUGAAGAGCACUACUGCUGACCAUUUCUGCAGGCGCAAAAUCAUCACCAAGAAGAACAAACGUGUUUUGUAAGACAAUUUCUUGCGACCUCUUAUGGUGGAAGUGAUGCGACCUCUUGUGAUGACAAUGACAAAAUUGGAAAGUAGGGUGCAAGAUCAGCAGAAGUCACUAGAAAUAAUGAAUGGUACCAUCGAACAUUUGAAACAAACUCAGGCUGCUGCACCCACUGGACCUGAUUUUAUCCCUGCUGGACGGAUUGCUACCAAUACAAAGAUAUGUAGACUUGAGGACUUUGAACAACAGAUAAAUGGGGACAGUCCCCUUAGAAAGUCACUGGUACAUAGACUCUAGAUUCUUGGGGAGCAACCGUCAGCAGUCAAAACCAUGAUUGACUUCUGCAUGACAAGUGGACUCCAGUAUGAGUUCAACUGGGAAGGUCGUCUUGGCUGGAAGACGAAAACAAAUACAUGCAAGAAAGGGUUCAAGAACACGACAUUGUGUGGAAUUAUAAUAAAUAUUCUGGUGAACAAGACACAAUUAUCAACUGAUGAAACUGAAGUAGGGAAAACUAUGAUGAUUUAUCUAAGAAAUGCAUGUGACAGAUACUUGGGAAGGAAAAGACCAAAAGACUUGCGCAGUCAGCAAAGUCAAGAUGAGAAUCCCAAUUCAUCUCAACCUAAUCCUGGUGGGGAUCCUGAAGGAAUAUGAUAUAGAGCACUUUUGCUGACUGUUGUCAAGGAAAUUAUAAAUAUUCAUGUAAUUUGUUUAUCACUCAAAUUUAUCUUAUUAUUGUCAGUCUUUUGAUUAGAUUUUUAUAUUUAAAUAAAUAAUUUUUAUUAUGUUUAAAUGAAUAAUUUUAUGUAAGAGACGUAUCAUUCUUUUCUGUCUAAUGUUUGUUGUGACUUCAUGCAAGAUGCUACAUCCAUUUAUCUCUUACAUACAGUGCUGUACUUAAUGAAUGGCAAUUUGUGUUCCUGCAUUACUUUUUUUUUUAAUUAAAUGGAUGUACCAUCUUGCACAAAGUCACAACAAACAUUAGACAGUAAUCCAUGAAUAUUUAUAAUUUCCUUGACUAUAUCAUCAGCUAGCUUUUGUAAAAUAUUUGUAUAUAGAAAUCAGAUAUAUUAAAAACAAUUAAGGAGAGUUUAUGUAGUAUAGAGAAUGCAGUGGGUGUUUCAUGUAUAUAUAUGGUACUAGUUACUGCAACUGUUUUGUUAACCAUUUUUUGCCUUCUAAUAAAAAUUUAAUUGUGA